AUUGAACGCUGGCGGCGUGCCUAACACAUGCAAGUCGAGCGGUAACAGGUGUAGCAAUACAUGCUGACGAGCGGCGAACGGGUGAGUAAUGCUUCGGAAUCUACCCAAUGGUGGGGAAUAACCAGCCGAAAGGUUGGCUAAUACCGCAUACGUCCCACGGGAGAAAGCAGGGGAUCGCAAGACCUUGCGCCAAUGGAUGAGCCGAAGUCGGAUUAGCUAGUUGGAGGGUAACGGCCUACCAAGGCGACGAUCCGUAGCUGGUCUGAGAGGACGACCAGCCACACUGGGACUGAGACACGGCCCAGACUCCUACGGGAGGCAGCAGUGGGGAAUAUUGGACAAUGGGAGAAACCCUGAUCCAGCGACGCCGCGUGUGUGAAGAAGGCCUGCGGGUUGUAAAGCACUUUUAGUGGGGAUGAAAUGUUCAGGGUUAACACCUCUGGAUUUUGACCUAACCCACAAGAAAAAGCACCGGCUAACUCUGUGCCAGCCGCCGC
rnacentral:rRNA from 1 species